GACGAACGCUGGCGGCGUGCUUAACACAUGCAAGUCGAACGGAGAGGCCCUGCUUUUGUGGGGUGCUCGAGUGGCGAACGGGUGAGUAACACGUGAGUAACCUGCCCUUGACUUUGGGAUAACUUCAGGAAACUGGGGCUAAUACCGGAUAGGAGCUCCUGCUGCAUGGUGGGGGUUGGAAAGUUUCGGCGGUUGGGGAUGGACUCGCGGCUUAUCAGCUUGUUGGUGGGGUAGUGGCUUACCAAGGCUUUGACGGGUAGCCGGCCUGAGAGGGUGACCGGCCACAUUGGGACUGAGAUACGGCCCAGACUCCUACGGGAGGCAGCAGUGGGGAAUAUGGCACAAUGGGCGGAAGCCUGAUGCAGCAACGCCGCGUGCGGGAUGACGGCCUUCGGGUUGUAAACCGCUUUCGCCUGUGACGAAGCGUGAGUGACGGUAAUGGGUAAAGAAGCACCGGCUAACUACGUG
rnacentral:rRNA from 1 species